rnacentral:rRNA from 1 species
UACGUAGGUGGCAAGCGUUGUCCGGAUUUACUGGGCGUAAAGAGCGCGCAGGCGGUCGUUCAAGUCGCGUGUGAAAGCCCCCGGCUCAACUGGGGAGGGUCACGCGAUACUGAUCGACUCGAAGGCAGGAGAGGGUAGUGGAAUUCCCGGUGUAGUGGUGAAAUGCGUAGAUAUCUGGAGGAACACCAGUGGCGAAAGCGCGUGACUGGGCCAUAACUGACGCUGAGGAACGAAAGCCAGGGUAGCGAAAGGG